ACUGGGCGUGGUAGUACGUGCCUGUAGUCCCAGCUAUUCAGCAGGCUGAGGCUGGAGGAUCUCUUAAGUCCAGGAGUUCUGGGCUGUAGUGUGCUAUGCUGAUUGGGUGUCCGCACUAAGUUUGGCAUCAAUAUGGUGACCUCCCGGAAGCGGGGGACCACCAGGUUGCCUAAGGGGGGUGAACUGGCCCAGGUUGGAAACGGAGCAGGUGAAAACUCCUGCGCUGAUCGGAGGUUGCAGUAAGCUGAGAUUGUACCACUGCACUCCAGCUUGGGAGACAAAGCAAGACCCUGUCUCA
rnacentral:SRP_RNA from 1 species